rnacentral:rRNA from 1 species
AAAAUGCACAUGCUGUGAGCUCGAUGAGUAGGGCGGGACACGUGGUAUCCUGUCUGAAUAUGGGGGGACCAUCCUCCAAGGCUAAAUACUCCUGACUGACCGAUAGUGAACCAGUACCGUGAGGGAAAGGCGAAAAGAACCCCGGCGAGGGGAGUGAAAAAGAACCUGAAACCGUGUACGUACAAGCAGUGGGAGCACGCUUAGGCGUGUGACUGCGUACCUUUUGUAUAAUGGGUCAGCGACUUAUAUUCUGUAGCAAGGUUAACCGAAUAGGGGAGCCGAAGGGAAACCGAGUCUUAACUGGGCGUUAAGUUGCAGGGUAUAGACCCGAAACCCGGUGAUCUAGCCAUGGGCAGGUUGAAGGUUGGGUAACACUAACUGGAGGACCGAACCGACUAAUGUUGAAAAAUUAGCGGAUGACUUGUGGCUGGGGGUGAAAGGCCAAUCAAACCGGGAGAUAGCUGGUUCUCCCCGAAAGCUAUUUAGGUAGCGCCUCGUGAAUUCAUCUCCGGGGGUAGAGCACUGUUUCGGCAAGGGGGUCAUCCCGACUUACCAACCCGAUGCAAACUGCGAAUACCGGAGAAUGUUAUCACGGGAGACACACGGCGGGUGCUAACGUCCGUCGUGAAGAGGGAAACAACCCAGACCGCCAGCUAAGGUCCCAAAGUCAUGGUUAAGUGGGAAACGAUGUGGGAAGGCCCAGACAGCCAGGAUGUUGGCUUAGAAGCAGCCAUCAUUUAAAGAAAGCGUAAUAGCUCACUGGUCGAGUCGGCCUGCGCGGAAGAUGUAACGGGGCUAAACCAUGCACCGAAGCUGCGGCAGCGACGCUGAUGCGUUGUUGGGUAGGGGAGCGUUCUGUAAGCCUGCGAAGGUGUGCUGUGAGGCAUGCUGGAGGUAUCAGAAGUGCGAAUGCUGACAUAAGUAACGAUAAAGCGGGUGAAAAGCCCGCUCGCCGGAAGACCAAGGGUUCCUGUCCAACGUUAAUCGGGGCAGGGUGAGUCGACCCCUAAGGCGAGGCCGAAAGGCGUAGUCGAUGGGAAACAGGUUAAUAUUCCUGUACUUGGUGUUACUGCGAAGGGGGGACGGAGAAGGCUAUGUUGGCCGGGCGACGGUUGUCCCGGUUUAAGCGUGUAGGCUGGUUUUCCAGGCAAAUCCGGAAAAUCAAGGCUGAGGCGUGAUGACGAGGCACUACGGUGCUGAAGCAACAAAUGCCCUGCUUCCAGGAAAAGCCUCUAAGCAUCAGGUAACAUCAAAUCGUACCCCAAACCGACACAGGUGGUCAGGUAGAGAAUACCAAGGCGCUUGAGAGAACUCGGGUGAAGGAACUAGGCAAAAUGGUGCCGUAACUUCGGGAGAAGGCACGCUGAUAUGUAGGUGAAGCGACUUGCUCGUGGAGCUGAAAUCAGUCGAAGAUACCAGCUGGCUGCAACUGUUUAUUAAAAACACAGCACUGUGCAAACACGAAAGUGGACGUAUACGGUGUGACGCCUGCCCGGUGCCGGAAGGUUAAUUGAUGGGGUUAGCGCAAGCGAAGCUCUUGAUCGAAGCCCCGGUAAACGGCGGCCGUAACUAUAACGGUCCUAAGGUAGCGAAAUUCCUUGUCGGGUAAGUUCCGACCUGCACGAAUGGCGUAAUGAUGGCCAGGCUGUCUCCACCCGAGACUCAGUGAAAUUGAACUCGCUGUGAAGAUGCAGUGUACCCGCGGCAAGACGGAAAGACCCCGUGAACCUUUACUAUAGCUUGACACUGAACAUUGAGCCUUGAUGUGUAGGAUAGGUGGGAGGCUUUGAAGUGUGGACGCCAGUCUGCAUGGAGCCGACCUUGAAAUACCACCCUUUAAUGUUUGAUGUUCUAACGUUGACCCGUGAUCCGGGUUGCGGACAGUGUCUGGUGGGUAGUUUGACUGGGGCGGUCUCCUCCUAAAGAGUAACGGAGGAGCACGAAGGUUGGCUAAUCCUGGUCGGACAUCAGGAGGUUAGUGCAAUGGCAUAAGCCAGCUUGACUGCGAGCGUGACGGCGCGAGCAGGUGCGAAAGCAGGUCAUAGUGAUCCGGUGGUUCUGAAUGGAAGGGCCAUCGCUCAACGGAUAAAAGGUACUCCGGGGAUAACAGGCUGAUACCGCCCAAGAGUUCAUAUCGACGGCGGUGUUUGGCACCUCGAUGUCGGCUCAUCACAUCCUGGGGCUGAAGUAGGUCCCAAGGGUAUGGCUGUUCGCCAUUUAAAGUGGUACGCGAGCUGGGUUUAGAACGUCGUGAGACAGUUCGGUCCCUA